GACGAACGCUGGCGGCGUGCCUAAUACAUGCAAGUCGAGCGGAUGGAUGGGAGCUUGCUCCCAGAAGUCAGCGGCGGACGGGUGAGUAACACGUGGGCAACCUGCCCCUAAGAUCGGGAUAACUUCGGGAAACCGGAGCUAAUACCGGAUAUGAUUAUGUCGCAAAUGAGACAUAAUGGAAAGACGGUUUCGGCUGUCACGUAGGGAUGGGCCCGCGGCGCAUUGGCUAGUUGGUGAGGUAACGGCUCACCAAGGCGACGAUGCGUAGCCGACCUGAGAGGGUGAUCGGCCACACUGGGACUGAGACACGGCCCAGACUCCUACGGGAGGCAGCAGUAGGGAAUCUUCCGCAAUGGACGAAAGUCUGAUGGAGCAACGCCGCGUGAUUGAAGAAGGUUUUCGGAUCGUAAAACUCUGUUGUUAGGGAAGAACAAGUACCAUAGUAACUGAUGGUACCUUGACGGUACCUAACCAGAAAGCCACGGCUAACUACGUGCCAGCAGCCGCCGUAAUAC
rnacentral:rRNA from 1 species